GAUCAUGAUAACUAGUCGAAUCGACAGGCCUUGUGCCGGCGAUGGCUCAUUCAAAUUUCUUCCCUAUCAACUUUCGAUGUUUGGGUCUUGUCCAAACAUGGUGGCAACGGGUAACGGAGGGUUAGGGCUCGACCCCGGAGAAGGAGCCUGAAAAACGGCUACUACAUCCAAGGAAGGCAGCAGGCGCGCAAAUUACCCAAUCCCGACACGGGGAGGUAGUGACAAUAAAUACUGAUACAGGGCUCUUUUGGGUCUUGUAAUCGGAAUGAGUACAAUUUAAAUCCCUUAACGAGGAACAAUUGGAGGGCAAGUCUGGUGCCAGCAGCCGCGGUAAUUCCAGCUCCAAUAGCGUAUAUUAAAGUUGUUGUGGUUAAAAAGCUCGUAGUUGAACCUUGGGCCUGGCUGGCCGGUCCGCCUCACCGCGUGCACUGGUCCGGCCGGGCCUUUCCCUCUGCGGAACCCCAUGCCCUUCACUGGGUGUGGCGGGGAACCAGGACUUUUAC
rnacentral:rRNA from 1 species